UGUGUGUAAUUUAAAAAAAAUAUCAAGUUU
rnacentral:tRNA from 1 species